GCCCGGGUGUCGGAAUUGGUAGACGAUCACGACUCAAAAUCGUGUGGGAUUUACUCCCGUGUGGGUUCGAGUCCCACCCCGGGCA
rnacentral:tRNA from 1 species